rnacentral:rRNA from 1 species
UACGUAGGGGGCUAGCGUUGUCCGGAUUUAUUGGGCGUAAAGAGCGUGUAGGCGGCCAGGUAGGUCUGCUGUGAAAACAUCGAGGCUCAACCUCGAGAUGUCGGCGGAAACCAUCUGGCUAGAGUCCGGAAGAGGGUCGUGGAAUUCCCAGUGUAGAGGUGAAAUUCGUAGAUAUUGGGAAGAACACCGGUGGCGAAGGCGGCGACCUGGUCCUUUUACUGACGCUGGAGGCGCGAAAGCGUGGGGAGCAAACAGG